GACGCUCAAACGGGGUGCAGACAUACCUGCUGAGAUUAUACCCGUAGACCUGAUCCAGAUAAUGCUGGCGGAGGAAUUUGAGGCCUGACGCGC
rnacentral:ncRNA from 2 species